rnacentral:rRNA from 1 species
UACGUAGGGUCCGAGCGUUGUCCGGAAUUAUUGGGCGUAAAGGGCUCGUAGGCGGUCUGUUGCGUCGGGAGUGAAAACUUACAGCUUAACUGUGAGCGUGCUUCCGAUACGGGCAGACUUGAGGUAUUCAGGGGAGAACGGAAUUCCUGGUGUAGCGGUGAAAUGCGCAGAUAUCAGGAGGAACACCGGUGGCGAAGGCGGGUCUCUGGGCCGAUACUGACGCUGAGGAGCGAAAGCGUGGGGAGCGAACAGGA